UACGUAGGGUGCGAGCGUUGUCCGGAAUUACUGGGCGUAAAGAGUUCGUAGGCGGUUUGUCGCGUCGUUUUGUGAAAAACCCGGGGGCUCAACUUCGGGCUUGCAGGCGAUACGGGCAGACUUGAGUGUUUCAGGGGAGACUGGAAUUCCUGGUGUAGCGGUGAAAUGCGCAGAUAUCAGGAGGAACACCGAUGGCGAAGGCAGGUCUCUGGGCAUUAACUGACGCUGAGGAGCGAAAGCAUGGGGAGCGAACAGG
rnacentral:rRNA from 1 species